rnacentral:lncRNA from 1 species
UCAUGUUUUCUAUUACUUCGAAACAAAUUUACAUCACCAACAACAGUCUCCAAACAAAAGAAGAAAACAAUUUUCCAGCUCACUUUCCGGGGACAAAGUUAGUGGCAUAGGACCAGGCGUUGUUGUUGACUGGGUCUGCAAGGUGGUCAGCAAGGUUCUCCAAUGGUCCCUUUCCGGUGACAAUGGCCUGGACAAAGAAGCCGAACAUGGAGAACAUGGCCAAUCUACCGUUCUUGAGCUCCUUCACCUUGAGCUCAGCAAAAGCCUCUGGGUCAUCAGCAAGGCCCAAUGGGUCAAAGCUUCCACCUGGGUAAAGUGGGUCAGUUAUCUCUCCAAGUGGCCCACCAGCAAUUCUGUAUCCCUCAACUGCACCCAUCAACACAACUUGGGUAGCCCAGAUGGCCAAGAUGCUUUGGGCAUGGACCAAGCUAGGGUUGCCCAAGUAGUCAAGACCGCCCUCGCUGAAGAUUUGGGCUCCGGCCUUGAACCACACGGC